rnacentral:rRNA from 1 species
AUUGAACGCUGGCGGCAGGCUUAACACAUGCAAGUCGAGCGGGGGAAGGUAGCUUGCUACCGGACCUAGCGGCGGACGGGUGAGUAAUGCUUAGGAAUCUGCCUAUUAGUGGGGGACAACAUCUCGAAAGGGAUGCUAAUACCGCAUACGUCCUACGGGAGAAAGCAGGGGAUCUUCGGACCUUGCGCUAAUAGAUGAGCCUAAGUCGGAUUAGCUAGUUGGUGGGGUAAAGGCCUACCAAGGCGAAGAUCAGUAGCGGGUCUGAGAGGAUGGUCCGCCAAACUGGGACUGAGACACGGCCCAGAGUCCUACGGGAGGCAGCAGUGGGGAAUAUUGGACAAUGGGGGGAACCCUGAUCCAGCCAUGCCGCGUGUGAGAAGAAGGCCUUAUGGUUGUAAAGCACUUUAAGCGAGGAGGAGGCUACUUUAGUUAAUACCUAGAGAUAGUGGACGUUACUCGCAGAAUAAGCACCGGCUAACUCUGUGCCAGCCGCCGCCGUAA